UACGUAGGGCGCAAGCGUUGUCCGGAAUUAUUGGGCGUAAAGAGCUCGUAGGCGGUCUGUUACGUCCGCUGUGAAAACCCAGGGCUUAACCCUGGGCUUGCAGUGGAUACGGGCAGACUAGAGGCAGGUAGGGGAGAAUGGAAUUCCCGGUGUAGCGGUGAAAUGCGCAGAUAUCGGGAGGAACACCGGUGGCGAAGGCGGGUCUCUGGGCAACAACUGACGCUGAGGAGCGAAAGCGUGGGGAGCGAACAGG
rnacentral:rRNA from 1 species